CUUGUUGGUAUACGCCCUCUUCAUUAGGGCGAGAUCAUCAACCGGCUCGCCAUCAUUUUCUUCUGCCUUGAAAAAAACAUAAAUUAAACAAACAUUAGAAAUAGAUUGAGCACACAAGUUAUGCUUGAAUAAUAAGAUUGAGCACACAAAAAAUAAAAUUUCAAAACUUAAAUAAUUGAAGAAAAAGCGGCUGAACUUACCAUGCGAUCCCCCAGAGUGGCAAUAGAUUGAGCAC
rnacentral:lncRNA from 1 species